UACAGCCAUAUCAUGUUGAAACAGCGGUUUUCAUAUGAUCACCGAAGUUAACCAACAUUGUGCCUGGUCAGUACCUGGACGAGUGACUGCUUGAGAAUAACAGGU